rnacentral:rRNA from 1 species
AUACGAAGGGUGCGAGCGUUAAUCGGAAUUACUGGGCGUAAAGCGCGCGUAGGCGGAUUGUUAAGUUGGAGGUGACAUCCCCGGGCUCAACCUGGGCAGUGCCUCCAACACUGGCUGCCUAGAGUCCGGUAGAGGGUGGUGGAAUUUACUGUGUAGCGGUGAAAAGCGUAGAUAUAGGAAGGAACACCAGUGGCGAAGGCGACCACCUGGACUGAUACUGACGCUGAGGGGCGAAAGCGUGGGGAGCAAACAGGAUUAGAUACCCUGGUAGUCCACGCCGUAAACGAUGUCGACUAGCCGUUGGGCUCCUUGAGAGCUUAGUGGCGCAGCUAACGCAUUAAGUCGACCGCCUGGGGAGUACGGCCGCAAGGUUAACACUCAAAUGAAUUGACGGGG